rnacentral:rRNA from 1 species
AGAAUCAACGCUGGCGGCGUGCCUAACACAUGCAAGUCGCACGAGAAAGGGUAGCAAUACCUGAGUAAAGUGGCGCACGGGUGAGUAACACGUGACUAACCUACCUCCGAGUGGGGAAUAACUGAGAGAAAUCUUAGCUAAUACCGCAUAACACUUACGAGUCAAAGCAGCAAUGCGCUUGGAGAGGGGGUCGCGGCAGAUUAGUUAGUUGGCGGGGUAAUGGCCCACCAAGACGAUGAUCGGUA